GGUGGAAUAAGCCGAGCGUUGGCCUACCGGCAGCCGUCUCGAAAACGGUCGAUCCUUCACCGGAUGUGCGGGUUCGAGUCCCGCUUCCACCG
rnacentral:tRNA from 1 species